rnacentral:rRNA from 1 species
CCUACGGGAGGCAGCAGUGGGGGAUAUUGCACAAUGGAGGGAACUCUGAUGCAGCGACGCCGCGUGAGGGAAGGAGGUUUUCGGAUUGUAAACCUCUGUCUUCGGUGACGAAACGAGACGGUAGCCGAGGAAGAAGCCACGGCUAACUACGUGCCAGCAGCCGCGGUAAUACGUAGGGGGCAAGCGUUGUCCGGAAUUACUGGGUGUAAAGGGAGCGUAGGAGGGAAAGAAAGUUGAAUGUUUAAGGUCCGGGCUCAACCUGGACAAGGGUUGGAAAAUGUUUUUCUUGAGUGGUGUAGGGGUAAGCGGAAUUCCUGGUGUAGCGGUGAAAUGCGUAAAUAUUAGGAGGAACACCAGUGGCGAAGGCGGCUUACUGGGCUUUAACUGACGCUGAGGCUCGAAAGCGUGGGGAGCAAACAGGAUUAGAUACCCUGGUAGUC